rnacentral:misc_RNA from 1 species
UGAACUUGGAGGUGGUGAAUUUGAGUAAGUGGGUCCAGCCCAAAGCUCAGAAAAGGAGAAACUUCUGUCAUAGAAUUCUUCAUGGAGAGCACUAUUCUUGUUUGAGAAUUUGGGUUUGAUAGGAAUUGGAGCACUUCUCACAGUAGUAAGUUGUUUUCCAUUUUCAGAGCUGGAACUUAAACAAGUUGGGGGUGUUUUAGGAGAAGAAGGGUAGACAUGUUUGGAUUCAGAAGUACAAGCCUUCAAAGGAGUUGGAAGGAUACCAGCUCCCGACUGAAAACCCCUACAAUUCAUCCCUCUGAAGUCUCGGGAUGGGAGUGAUCCAAAUCGAGCUGGGCCAUGCGGCUUGACCCGAUCAUAAUAUUGGUUCCUAUGCUGCUCAACAACAACCACUGCUUCCAUAGCAAAAAAACUUCUAAGUUAA